GAUAAUUAUUUUAAUGUUUUGAGCAUUCUGUUAUAAUAGAAUAGGCAAGCAUUUUACGUAAUAUAAUAUUUUUUAACCAUUUUUCAUGUUUAAGUAAGCUAGCUCGUAUCUGCGAGUUACAUUACAAAGUUACAUUACAAUUUGAAAAGUAUCCGACAUUAAUAACUAUGAGUCAUGUUCAUAGUAAGUAAAGGCAUGACUCAAAAUGUACUGCGAAGCAGUGCUACCGAAGUGAUAAUCCGUCUCCUCAUCGUCAUAUAAUAAAUUGCAUCAUAUAAAU
rnacentral:sRNA from 1 species